rnacentral:rRNA from 1 species
UACCAGCACCCCGAGUGGUCGGGACGAUUAUUGGGCCUAAAGCAUCCGUAGCCGGUCCUGCAAGUCUUCCGUUAAAUCCAGCUGCUCAACAGAUGGGCUGCGGGGGAUACUACAUGGCUAGGAGGCGGGAGAGGCAAGCGGUACUUUAUGGGUAGGGGUAAAAUCCGUUGAUCCAUAGAAGACCACCGGUGGCGAAGGCGGGUCUCUGGGCCGAUACUGACG